UCAUGCUUUUCUCUUGGAAGCUGGGGAGGGCUUCACAGAGGAGAUGAUAUUUCUCUGGUGACUUUUUAAAGCUCAAGGAUAUCUCAUUUAUGUUGAGACUGUAUCUCAAUAACAGCAAAUCGAUACUCUAAGAAGAAUAGAUCACAGGAUAGUGAUCUGAAAGUGGGUUGUCCCAGCACUGCAUCUAGACGGUCAAGAUUAGAUCACCGUCCACCUGGUACUGUUUAGAUGAAGGGCCCGCCAGAGGCAGAGGGAUGGACAAAAUAACCUAUUGAAACUUCCGACCUUGAAAUUUUGUGAAAGUAAACCAGGAGUGUGAGCUUUCAACUGUGAGAUAAGGGAGAAGAAAGAGGAAGAGGGAGAAGCGGAGGAAGAGGAAGAUGAAGAGGAGGAGGAGGAGGAGGAGGAAGAAAACAAAGUCCGACUGCUUGGGGUCAUCUGAGGAUUUUUGAAAUUCCUUGGUUUUGUUGACACAUAUUUUCCAUGCAAUUCUUUUUCCAGUAAUAAUGUCUAAGUUGUUAAGAAAGAAACUUGCAAUAAAAUGCUAAUUUUCCUCUGACAUUUCUCAACCCAAAACUUGUCUCCAGGGGUGUAAAGCACAG